CUUCUCUGAAAUCAGGCAAAGGUGGUAGAUGAAGUGUUGGAGUCAGUUUCACCUGGUUGAAAACGUUUUUAAAAAGUCCGAUGACAUUUUGUGAACUCGUUUCAGUAUUGUUAAAGUAUCCCUCUUCGCCUAGGUUUUUCUGCCUGUUAAAGACACAGCUGUACAUAUGUUCAUUGUUUAAAAGGAGAAAGGAUUCAAAAGUCUGUAGCUCUGUCACCCCAAGACACGCUAGAGUGUUAGGUAGUUUUAUUCUUCCUAUAGAUAUUUUUCUACCUUUUAAUAGUCUUUGUAAUAUGAUCUUUUUCCCAUGCAGGUUUUGUCAGUGUUUCCAGUUUAUAACAACUACACGGUUUAUACUACAGUAAUGAGCGCUGCCAACCCGGAGAAGUACACGACUAGGAUCAGGAGCCUGGGUUAAAAGUAAGUAAGCACGAGUGGAUUCAACCAUGCUAUGAAAGUUUUGCUCGUUUGUUGUUGUUUGCUCAUUUGGGGACAUUGGUGGGUGUGCUGGUGUUUCCCGCAGAAGAUGGUAACGUCUUUAACAUCUAUGCAUACAGAAUAUUCUUCUGACAGACAUCUGGCAAACGGUUGUCAUUUGUGUCAGGUUAAUGUCACUAUUCGGUAUUUAUCUUGAAUUUGUUGGCAUGAGAGCUAAUCUUCUCGUGCCUAAUGCCCUUUGUCCCUUACUCAAACCUAUUCUCAGGGCAAGGUGUUAUCUCUUAGCUGACACAGAGGGGGAAAUAAUUGGGAAGACUUGCGUGUCCCCAGCAUAAUAGUGAGGCAGGCCCAGCACCUCGACAACUUGAGAAGACAGAUAGUGACGGCAGAGAUCAGCUGCAGAACUUAUUUCAGGCAUCGGUGAGCCCAUCGGUGAGGGGAAGGACAUGAGGAAAAAGCAGGAGUCCUGAAACCAAACCUAGGCAGUUUUCCCUAUUGCCGGGUUCUUCUAGAACUUGUCAACCUGGCCUGACGUUUUGGUCAUUUGCUUAUCGUGGCAGUGUUAAAAACUGGUGUUUGAAUUAAGUACAUUUAUUUUUCUUCCUUUACAGAUGAUUUCUUAAAAGUGAAAUUCUUGAAGAGCUGUACUUUAAAAAACAAAACCAAGUGAAAGGAUUGUAUUAUUUUAGGAACAAUACAGGUCCUUCCUCAUUAGGCUUUUCAGUCUUGUCAAGCGGGGGCAGGAGGACCACUUGGCAGCUUGUACUGCUGAAGUGGGUGGUAGGCGCCUUCAUUUGCUUCUCUUCAUCGCUUGUGACCCUCUGUAAGCUCGGUCUGUGCUGACUGGAGCAGCUCAAGGAAAAUUGGUCUCAGAGGUCAAGCCACUUCUCACCACCACAUGUAGCAAUGUUGUCAGACCUCAGCUUAUGAAGAAAUGAGCUGGCUAGGCCUCUUUGUUUCUUAUGAAGUGCUUCUGGAAGAUAUGAGAAAGGAAAGGUUCUUCUAAAAGAAAUGGAGAACUGUAGUUUGAGUAGAGCCUGUUGGAGUGUUUGUUCGUCUGAGCUUUGAUCACGUGUUGCCAUGGGGUGGGACUCUCACUUUUCAUAAUGUGUCUAAUGUUUCUUUAUAAAAACUGAUGGGCUUCCUUUUUCUACAUAGCUACUUUCUUACUGCUUUUUGAAAGCAAUAUGAAACCAAAUUAUUUCUGAUUGUCACUUUUCAUUAGUUAAUAAAAUGUUGAAAGAGAUGUUGGCA
rnacentral:lncRNA from 1 species